ensembl:lncRNA
GCUCUUAUAUGUUUUUUUAUUUUUCAGUACUCUUUUUUCAUCCUGCUGCGUAUUUGCGAUGAUUUUCUUCUAAUAUAUGAUGCGUUUUUAUAUGGAGGUGCGUCCGAAAAGGUGCAAACAUCAGCAAACACAAAGAAAGAGCAAGAGAUUUUAGGUUCGACAAACACGUUGCAACUCGGUGACGUUCACCCUCCUCCUGGGCCUGCGUCGCUUCGUAAUGACAUCAUCAUUUUGUGAUACGACAGUGCCCCCUACAGGUUCAACAUCUCACUGUUUUUGAGUAAAAAAACUGAGCGUCUCAGUUUUUAUAAGCAGGAAACUUUAAAACUGCCAUCGUUUAAUUUCUAGAGAGCUCAGAGUCGAACCCUGAACGCUUUAAAACACAGACUUUUGUCUUUUCUACACUUUCUGCUUCUCAUGAACCGGUUUACAAACUCAUGCUGCCUUCAGGUGACGCAGAUUACCAUCGAUGCGAGCCUUAUCAACGAUGGUUCAAUGUUCCCGCUCUGAUUUUGUGCUUGUGAAAUAAAGGAUUUGAAACCCUGCACUUAUUUUUUGCUAACUUGAGAAGACUCGAGUUAAAGUAUUUGAGAAUGUCUCAGUAAAAUGACAACAGGCAGCACGGAGACGAAAGAAACACUGUGGACGUUUAAAGCAGCGAACGAACGCACACAUCUGGUUUUUCUUACACUUUAAGACAUUCUCAAAUAUUUGAUACGCAACUAAAAUCUUUUCUUCGCAGGCAUUCGUGUGAGUUUGUGAAAGGUGACAAAUGUCAUCUGGUGUCACAUGUAAAUAAAUCAAAACAACAUUUUUAUUUACUUUAACAUAUAAAAGUUAAAUUAUAUGGUUAACAACAGUAGAAAUUAUUUUAUCUAUGAAAGUUAUUACAUUUAUUACUAAGUUGUUGCUGAUUUUUUUUCCCUCUAUGUUGAAUUUAUUUCCUUUUUUUUCUGCUUUUGUUUCAUUGCUGUCGUGUGCUAGCGUGCUAUACGAGCUCAAAUGUGAGCGCCAUUUGUAGUUACUUCAUGUUUGCAUUUGAGAUCAUUUUUUUGAUGCAUAUUCUGAAAUAAUGUAUAUUUUCAUCAUUUUAGUUUAUUUUGAAAAGUCUCAACAGGAUCUUGAGCUUUAUUGUGAAAGAUUUAUGUGAAAAAUAAUCAAGUGGACGGUUUUUUGCUAACAAACCGACGCGUAAAACAGUCGCACGUCCGUCCGUAGUGUGGUUAUUUUAAAUAUAAGACAAAGAGAGAACUAUAAGAAGAAAGUAAGAUGGCCACUACAUCAACAUUUAAUUUCUAUCUAGAUUUUAGAUUUAUUUAGAUAAUAAACUGAGAUUUAUGACAUAUGUUUUGGUUAUGUGACUGGCACUUUGCUUCCUCCGUACAAAAGGGCUCUCACAUGAUUUUUGAGGCGAACUUAUCUCGUAACUUGAAGGCAGUUAGAUUGAAACUGGUUCUGGGUCUCCUGCUGAGCCUGAAGCAGAGGAUGUGGUAGAAAAGACACCCGGUACAACAUUUCUGUCGAGUGGUUUGGUUGUGUUGACGCUUACAGAAACAUUAAGAGGAGAGCGUUCGUGCCGAGCCGCUCGUGUUCCAGUCCUCGCGGUCCGACCCAGAACCCCAAACUGGAAGACAUUCUCAGAGGCAGCGCAGCAGACUGUGACUGGUCCAUUCAUUUCCACCCUUCAGUCCAUUUAUCCAUUUACAACCUCACCAACCACGCCCCGCUUGACCCCGCCUCCUUUUACCCUCCACUUCCACCGAUCAGAGUGUUUUUAAGUGUCAUCUCUGCAGCUUGGUGUCGGCCGACGGGAGGUGACGAGUUUCCCAAAAACAAACACAUCAAAGUUCAAACUCUCGUUCAUCUGCAGGCCGAGCUCCUCGUUUGGUGUCCAACUCCAGUCCUCCAGAGCUACCUGCAGCUUUUAGACGCAUCCUUGUUCUGACACACCUGAAUCAAAUGAAUGGUUCGUUAUUAGGCCUUUGCCAAACUUGAUGUCUGCUGAAGAGGGAAUCGAACCUUUUGAUUCAGCUGUGUUGGAGUAGGGAUGCAUCUAAAAGCUGCGGACAGCAGCUCUGGAGGACUACAGCUGGACACCCCUGGGUUAAGGGACUUUUAUGUAACAAACGUGCAGAACGUCAUCAGCAGUUGUUGUUUUAACUGUUUUAAAAUGUGACCGUUCUUUAAACCUUUGCUCUGUUUUUAUCCCUACGCUCUUUUCGCCAACAGACGUUACUCUCUUACUUGGCACAUAAGGUGUUUUUAGUAACUUACUUAAAUAUGGCUACACUGACUUGCUGCUCCUUAUGGUACAAACUGGCCCAGCCUAGUUCUAAAAUGAGCAGCUGCUUAUUCAGGUUCUGAGAGCUUCCUGUUAAUCAGCAACAGAAUCAGGAUCAGAAGAACAGCCGGGACUGUUUUGGGGACUUGGUCCAAUCUAGAUGUGGAACCAGGGACAGUACAGUGGAGGGACAUUUCAGCCUGAGCAGAGGUUUUCCAUCUCUGAUCUUUAUGACUCAAAAAUAUCUUUACAAAUGAUUUUAUGAUGACAGAAGUUUCUCAGGAUUGUUCUGAGCCAGCGUGACGACAGAGGCUGAACUUGUGGAACCACAGUAUGAGCUGCAGAGACAGGAUCGCAGCACGAAUGGCACUAACGACUUUCCAUACAUGCUGCAGUCCUGGUGAUUUUCUCCCGCUGAGAACGGUGAAGGCAGUGAUAGAACGUGUGCAGGAGGAAGGACGCGUUUGAUGGAGACUUGUUUCAUUUUUUUCCCGGUUUUCUUUUUGGGAAACUCGGCUGGUAACAUCGGAGAGAAGUAAAGGGUCUGAGUGAGAGAAGAAGGAAAGUCUUAGAGGUUGGAGAGGGCAGUGCAGCGACUCAGGCUGAAUGUCUAAACUUUACUCUCUGGAAAGGAAAAGAUCUCGCCGUCACAGAGCAGUGCAAGGAAGAAACGUACUCGGGGUGGACGCAAUAAAGGGAGCUUUCAAUCCUGAGCAUCCACCCAGGGAGCUGCACGUCUGCUCUUCCUUAAACUCUUGACUUUUAUUUUGAAAGAUGACAGGAAAUCUUUUCCUUUCAGCUGUGUGAAGUUCAGACGAGGUUGGAGUGAAACAGUUUUCAGGGCAGUGCUCUUUGUCUAAACAAAGCGGGGCAGUGUCAGAAACGCUCCAAAGCCCCCCAUCGGCCGACACCUGAAUGCAUCACGGUGGAGGGAGUGAAAGUGGGAGCGUCGGGCGUUUUAUCCAAACACAUUCACAUCCACGACAUAAAAACCUGUUCUGGAAUCUUUUGAUUCACUAAUCAAUAACCGACCACUUCAUCUUUUCCUUGAAGUUAAAUUUAAAAUUCAAAUUUUCUUUUCUUGAACCGCUGCACACAUCGUGCCAAUUCAACAUAAACAAAUGGACCAAUCAGAGCUCAGUGUGCCCGUCCUCAUCAAAACCAAACACACAGUCGUGUUAAUAACAGACAAAGUGAGCGCAUGCUGUGGCGUUUUAACCCGUUAAAUCCUGAUCACGCAGAGCUCCAACACGCCUGCACAGGGCAGGUCGCGGUCGGCUCGUCGUUCAGCUUCAGUCCUGUUCAGACCGGAUCAGAGUUACACAACUCGGCUGUUAGUGUCUCAAUAAAUCAUUUAAACCUCCCCAUGUCUGCGGGGGCGUCGCACAGAAAGUACAUCAUGCAAUAUUUCUUGUAACGCCGCAAAACCCAAAAUCUUGUCAUGUGAUCAGAGCCUGAACGCAGCACAGAGAGACUGAGCUGCGAUCAGUUUUUUAUGACAUUAUUGGUGGACUUCACAGUCCUGCUGAUCUCUUUUUAAAACCAGCAGCUUUCAGACCAACCUCGUGUCUGAAACUCCCCACAGUCAGAGUUACACCUCCACCUGUGCUCACGGCUCUUUGACCUUUCCUGCCCCGGGUUGUGUCUCACAGGCUGCAGGCCUCUAACAGUAACUCACACCAGCCGUGUUUUGGAGAGCAGACUGGUUAUAAAGGAUAGCUGUAGCUACCAGGACGUCACUCGCUGUAAAAUACAAAUAAAAUUCCAGAAUUUCAGUCGCCAAAACUGGAGCUCAGACUUCUUAGGCGGAGGAAAUUAUCUCUAACAGUGUUUUUUACCAGGCUGUAUAUUUCUACUGUAAAGCUGUUCAUUUUAACAUACCAGUCUAUGGGGACUGGCUCACCGCUGAAAGUUGCUGCUUGAUUUUGGGCUCCUGCCGUCCUUCAUUUAUUACUUUCUGUGCAAUGGAAAAGAAUUAGCACUAUGCUAAGCUGCACAUUUCUGGCAUGUUUGCACAGUUCAUGGUUACUACAGAUCGGUUACUACUACAGUGGGUGUGCUCGCUAUAAUCUGACAGCACACUGACUGUAUAGUUUAUACCAAGAAGCACCCAGGGUUGUUUCUGCCCUACGUUUCCCCUGAAAUGAUUAAUUGAUUAUGUUUUAGGAUAUUCAAAAUCCCCCCAUCGUCAACUAUUUGUUCAUGGAAAAUAUUUGGGAGUACACCAUCUAUACUACAGUCUGUUCCAACCGUAAACUGGGCUUGUAUUUGACCUAUAA